rnacentral:rRNA from 1 species
GAAACUUAAUAAUUUGACGGUAUUUAAUAUCAUAAAGGAGCUUGUAAUUGAAUCGUCAACACACGUUUUAUCUUACUUUAUAAAAUUUGUAUACCUCCGUUAAGAUUCUAUUUUAAAUACUAUAAAAUUUCUUAAAAUAUACAAUCAUAAAUCAGGUCAAGGUGCAAUUUUUAAAGAUAUUAUGAGCUACAAUCAAAAAAUAAAGAUAUGGAUUAAUCUAUGAAAAAAAUAAUGAAAGUGAAUUUAUAAAUAAAAUAAAAUUAAAACAUUUAUUUGAAAAAAUUUAAAUAUGUACACAUCG